UGUCAGUCUCCUCAUUCCUUGUCCUGAACUUCUUCAUCAGGUGACCCUGAUGUGAUAGACCAGAAAUCAGGCCAAAUGAUAAGACCAGCAGCGCAGGACCAGUGAUGGCAGGGAAAACUUGGACAUCCAUUGGCUAAGGAAUGUCUAAAAGAGGGGCCAGCCCAAGGUGACCAUCUCGCUUUCCCAGAGGUUCUGAGGAACAAUUGCAUGGAGUAUGAACAUUUGCCCUAUUCACUUUUUAAAGGAAUUGAAAAAAAAGCAUUCAGAAGUCAAAGUCUCAAAGUACUUCAAGUAUUGUUCAAAAGGAGAUGGCAGAACUUUUUAAGAGAGAAGCACAGACAUAUUUUCUGUGAGUGAAAUUUAUGA